GGGUUGUGAGGUUAAGCGACUAAGCGUACACGGUGGAUGCCUAGGCAGUCAGAGGCGAUGAAGGGCGUGCUAAUCUGCGAAAAGCGUCGGUAAGCUGAUAUGAAGCGUUACAACCGACGAUACCCGAAUGGGGAAACCCAGUGCAAUUCGUUGCACUAUUGCAUGGUGAAUACAUAGCCAUGCAAGGCGAACCGGGGGAACUGAAACAUCUAAGUACCCCGAGGAAAAGAAAUCAACCGAGAUUCCCCCAGUAGCGGCGAGCGAACGGGGAGGAGCCCAGAGUCUGAAUCAGUUUGUGUGUUAGUGGAAGCGUCUGGAAAGUCGCACGGUACAGGGUGAUAGUCCCGUACACAAAAAUACACUUGCUGUGAACUCGAUGAGUAGGGCGGGACACGUGACAUCCUGUCUGAAUAUGGGGGGACCAUCCUCCAAGGCUAAAUACUCCUGACUGACCGAUAGUGAACCAGUACCGUGAGGGAAAGGCGAAAAGAACCCCGGCGAGGGGAGUGAAAUAGAACCUGAAACCGUGUACGUACAAGCAGUGGGAGCACCUUCGUGGUGUGACUGCGUACCUUUUGUAUAAUGGGUCAGCGACUUAUAUUUUGUAGCAAGGUUAACCGAAUAGGGGAGCCGUAGGGAAACCGAGUCUUAACUGGGCGUCUAGUUGCAAGGUAUAGACCCGAAACCCGGUGAUCUAGCCAUGGGCAGGUUGAAGGUUGGGUAACACUAACUGGAGGACCGAACCGACUAAUGUUGAAAAAUUAGCGGAUGACUUGUGGCUGGGGGUGAAAGGCCAAUCAAACCGGGAGAUAGCUGGUUCUCCCCGAAAGCUAUUUAGGUAGCGCCUCGUGAACUCAUCUUCGGGGGUAGAGCACUGUUUCGGCUAGGGGGUCAUCCCGACUUACCAAACCGAUGCAAACUCCGAAUACCGAAGAAUGUUAUCACGGGAGACACACGGCGGGUGCUAACGUCCGUCGUGAAGAGGGAAACAACCCAGACCGCCAGCUAAGGUCCCAAAGUCAUGGUUAAGUGGGAAACGAUGUGGGAAGGCAUAGACAGCCAGGAUGUUGGCUUAGAAGCAGCCAUCAUUUAAAGAAAGCGUAAUAGCUCACUGGUCGAGUCGGCCUGCGCGGAAGAUGUAACGGGGCUAAACCAUGCACCGAAGCUGCGGCAGCGACACUUAGGUGUUGUUGGGUAGGGGAGCGUUCUGUAAGCCGUUGAAGGUGGACUGUGAGGUCUGCUGGAGGUAUCAGAAGUGCGAAUGCUGACAUAAGUAACGAUAAUGCGGGUGAAAAGCCCGCACGCCGGAAGACCAAGGGUUCCUGUCCAACGUUAAUCGGGGCAGGGUGAGUCGACCCCUAAGGCGAGGCUGAAAAGCGUAGUCGAUGGGAAACAGGUUAAUAUUCCUGUACUCGGUGUUACUGCGAAGGGGGGACGGAGAAGGCUAGGCUAGCCGGGCGACGGUUGUCCCGGUUUAAGCAUGUAGGCGGAGUGACCUGGUAAAUCCGGUUGCUUAUCAACGCUGAGGUGUGAUGACGAUGCACUACGGUGCAGAAGUAGUUGAUGCCAAGCUUCCAGGAAAAGCCUCUAAGCAUCAGGUAACAUUGAAUCGUACCCCAAACCGACACAGGUGGUCAGGUAGAGAAUACUCAGGCGCUUGAGAGAACUCGGGUGAAGGAACUAGGCAAAAUGGUGCCGUAACUUCGGGAGAAGGCACGCUGGCAUUAGGUAAAGAGACUUGCUCUCGUAGCCGAAGCCAGUCGCAGAUACCAGCUGGCUGCAACUGUUUAAUAAAAACACAGCACUGUGCAAACACGAAAGUGGACGUAUACGGUGUGACGCCUGCCCGGUGCUGGAAGGUUAAUUGAUGGGGUCAGCCGCAAGGCGAAGCUCUUGAUCGAAGCCCCAGUAAACGGCGGCCGUAACUAUAACGGUCCUAAGGUAGCGAAAUUCCUUGUCGGGUAAGUUCCGACCUGCACGAAUGGCGUAAUGAUGGCCAGGCUGUCUCCACCCGAGACUCAGUGAAAUUGAACUCGCUGUGAAGAUGCAGUGUACCCGCGGCAAGACGGAAAGACCCCGUGAACCUUUACUAUAGCUUGACACUGAACAUUGAGCCUUGAUGUGUAGGAUAGGUGGGAGGCAUCGAAGCGUGGACGCCAGUCUGCGUGGAGCCAACCUUGAAAUACCACCCUUUAAUGUUUGAUGUUCUAACUCGGCCCCGUAAUCCGGGGUGAGGACAGUGUCUGGUGGGUAGUUUGACUGGGGCGGUCUCCUCCCAAAGAGUAACGGAGGAGCACGAAGGUUAGCUAAUCACGGUCGGACAUCGUGAGGUUAGUGCAAAGGCAUAAGCUAGCUUGACUGCGAGAGUGACGGCUCGAGCAGGUACGAAAGUAGGUCUUAGUGAUCCGGUGGUUCUGAAUGGAAGGGCCAUCGCUCAACGGAUAAAAGGUACUCCGGGGAUAACAGGCUGAUACCGCCCAAGAGUUCAUAUCGACGGCGGUGUUUGGCACCUCGAUGUCGGCUCAUCACAUCCUGGGGCUGAAGUAGGUCCCAAGGGUAUGGCUGUUCGCCAUUUAAAGUGGUACGCGAGCUGGGUUUAGAACGUCGUGAGACAGUUCGGUCCCUAUCUGCCGUGGGCGUUGGAAGAUUGAGAGGGGCUGCUCCUAGUACGAGAGGACCGGAGUGGACGAAUCACUGGUGUUCGGGUUGUCAUGCCAAUGGCAUUGCCCGGUAGCUAAAUUCGGAAGAGAUAACCGCUGAAAGCAUCUAAGCGGGAAACUUGCCUCGAGAUGAGUCUUCCCUGGGGCUUUAAGCCCC
rnacentral:rRNA from 1 species